UACGGUAGGGUGCGAGCGUUAAUCGGAAUUACUGGGCGUAAAGCGUGCGCAGGCGGCUUCGCAAGUCAGGCGUGAAAUCCCCGGGCUUAACCUGGGAAUGGCGUCUGAAACUACGGAGCUGGAGUGUGGCAGAGGGAGGUAGAAAUUCCACAUGUAGCGGUGAAAUGCGUAGAUAUGUGGAGGAAUACCGAUGGCGAAGGCAGCCUCCUGGGCCAACACUGACGCUCAUGCACGAAAGCGUGGGGAGCAAACAGG
rnacentral:rRNA from 1 species